rnacentral:rRNA from 1 species
AUUGAACGCUGGCGGCAUGCCUUACACAUGCAAGUCGAACGGUAGCGGGCCUUCGGGUGCCGACGAGUGGCGAACGGGUGAGUAAUGUAUCGGAACGUACCUUUCAGUGGGGGAUAACGUAGCGAAAGUUGCGCUAAUACCGCAUACUCUGUGAGCAAGAAAGCAGGGGAUCGCAAGACCUUGCGCUGAUUGAGCGGCCGAUAUCAGAUUAGCUAGUUGGUGCGGUAAAGGCUAACCAAGGCGACGAUCUGUAGCGUGUCUGAGAGGAUGAUCCGCCACACUGGAACUGAGACACGGUCCAGACUCCUACGGGAGGCAGCAGUGGGGAAUUUUGGACAAUGGGGGCAACCCUGAUCCAGCCAUGCCGCGUGAGUGAAGAAGGCCUUCGGGUUGUAAAGCUCUUUCGGCCGGGAAGAAAUCGUAUCAGCUAAUACCUGGUGCGGAUGACGGUACCGGCAUAAGAAGCACCGGCUAACUACGUGCCAGCCGCCGCAGUAACAC